AUCUAUCAGGAAGACGUUUCCCCGUCUGUUGCCAUAUCAAAGGUAACACGAUCACACUGCAGGAGGAGAUGAAUGCAGGUAGACGAGGAUUGAUGCUGUAGCGUCAUCGCCGUACUUUACUCAGUCUCCUAGCAACAGGAAACAUCAGCCUCCGCGAGGACCAAUGAGGGCGCGCGCGGAGAGGAGUGUGUUGUGUCUUGUUGCUGUGAACGAGAUAUUUUAGGAGGCUGGAGAGCAGAGAGUGUCUCACCCCGGAGGAGCGCAGAGGCUGUGUGUGUGUGUGUGUGUGUCUGCAGGAACCGAGGAGAGCUCUGACUUCACACCGAGCAGGAGCGUCGUUGAGUCGGUGUGAGGAGGGAGGAGGAUAUCCACGGAGAAAGAGGCUUUAGCUGGGAUUUACUGACCCUGCUGCUGCUGCUGCUGCUGCUGGACAGAAUCAUUCAAGGAGCCUGAGGGUGAUGUGGAGGCUCAGAUCAGCUCAGACACUCUGAUUCAAACUCCGGUCAUAGAGCUGAGCGCCGGCUGUGGAGCAUCAGCAGCAGAAGCCCCUUCACUCUAAGAGAGACCAAACCAUUCAACAACGUCGAAAGUUGCUUACUUCAAGAGGAAAUAUGCGGAGGAGGAGGAUUUACACGGAGGCCUACAUGGAUAUUUUCAAAAACACCUGAUACUGCAGGAGGACCGGGGCUGCAUCCUGAAGCUGUCCCUGGAGAAGCUGAGGUUCCUGGAGGACCCGGAGGCCUACCUGCGGCGCUCCGUCCUCAUCAACAACCUGCUUAGGAAGAUCCACCAUGAGGAGGAGGAGCUUGAGGCCGAAGAGGAGGAGGAGGAAGAAGAAGAAGAUGACAUAGAAAUGGAAGAAGAGGAGGAGGAGGAGGAUGUCAUAGGAGAGAGGGGGCAGCGGCGGCUGUUGUACCCGGACCGGAAGAGGGUGAAGGUGCUGGUGAUGGACUGCUGCUCUCCUGCGUUCAGUCUGGAGGAGCUGCAGCAUUACCGACUGGUGCCCUGUUACCCGUCAGCCGGGUGCCUGUUCAGCCUGGGUACCUGCCCGGGCCUCGCCCCAAACCACCAGGUCCUUCUAUACAACCUGGACGACAACGGGUGACUGUCCUGUCCUCACUGACAUGCCUCUUCUCACAAUUGGAGAAUGAACAUCAGCACUCGUUACAGGCAUGCAGACUUGUUACGUCCCUGUUAUUUCUCGAGGGACAGGUGUGGUAAGGGUCUGCUUUGCUCGUCGCUCGUGUGUAACCACCACUUGUCACGUUGCUGAGAUGCAGUGGUGGAUUCAGACUCUUAAAAACCCUGAUUUUUUUUUCUGGUCCAGGAUCAACAGGUUCUCUAAAGUUGAUGUCAAAUGCAAACUCUGUUGCAGCCUCACUGCCAUUUAUUAUAAAGUUAAAGAACCUGGAGCAGGCAGGAAUUUUUUGCUGUUGAUGUCGUGUUAUUGAUUUUCACUGUUUUUUUGUUGCUCAUGUGAAUCGUGAGCAUAUUCAGGGAUUUACAGACUGCAAGCUACUUUUGAUGCACCUUGGCUUGCGUGGAGAAUUUAUGCUGAUAAGCUUCUGUUAUCUUUUUAUGCUACUGUGUGAUUUAUGAAAUAUUCUGUGUAACAUUCCCUGGACUGUGUGAACUGUCAAACUAUCUUAAGACCUUACAUUCUCUGAAAGUUAUCAACUGCCUGUUUGAAGACUGUUUCUGUGUAUUUGAUGUCCUGUUCUCAUUUAACACACUGGUUAUUUCCAUUUUAUAUCACUUUGCUGCCCUCUGCUGGUGGAAGAAUUCACUCUGUGGUCAAAUUUGAUAAUGCAAGUGAAUGAGAAGAUAAGUCCGCUUAUUUCACAUUUACAGGCUGCAUAUGAAUAUUGACAAAUGGUUGGCAACACACUUUGAUGCAACUGUGUGAGGAUUGAAGCAUUGAUUAUAGUAUCUGUUUACAGCUAUGACUCCUCCUGUUGUCAUCCACAAAUAGCGGCUGGUGUAUAACGGAUGACAGACAAGAGACACAAAAGAUAUAAUGAUGUGAAAUAUGUUUUCAUAGGAGACAUCGAUGUUAAACUUAAAAUGACCUCAUAUUUACAAAUAACCAUAUCAUAACACAUUUGUUUACUGCUAUAACGCCACAUAGUAGUGGUUUAUGGAAAGGGUAAUAAUCUUUCUUUCUUGUUUUCCCUUUUUAGCUACAUAGUAAAAUAAAUAAUGUUUUAUUUUUGUGGUUUAAAAAGGGAAAUUAUCCUAUUUUCAUUCUCUUCGGCUAUAAAAGUUAAAGCCAAAUAAUUUGUUUAUUAAUUAGUUUCAGUGAUUUAUACCUUUAAAGCUGAAUUUCUGAGGGAAAAAAUGUCUUGAAAUUGGUCAUGUAUUCCUUUUGUUUCAUAUUUCUAUUUAUAAUUGCAACUGCCAUUAUAUCACAAGUACAAAGUACCUCUUAUAAAACUGACUCAUCUUGUUUAUGACCAGUUAAUUAAUGACUCAUGCUUUUUUUCCAUGUGUCUCUCACUGUGUUUAAUUGUUCAGUCUCUGUUCAGGAGCUCUAGCGGGUUUGAAAAUGUGCAUCUUGAUAACAAACACUAUGAUGUUAAACAACAACAACAACAACAACAACAACAUACUGCAGGCAACUAUUAAAGAGAAGUUUGAUAUUUUAAACAA